UACAGAGGGGGCAAGCGUUGUUCGGAAUUACUGGGCGUAAAGGCGCGUAGGCGGCCUGUUAAGUCGAACGUGAAAUCCCUGGGCUCAACCCAGGAACUGCGUCCGAUACUGGCAGGCUUGAAUUCGGGAGAGGGAUGCGGAAUUCCAGGUGUAGCGGUGAAAUGCGUAGAUAUCUGGAGGAACACCGGUGGCGAAGGCGGCAUCCUGGACCGAGAUUGACGCUGAGGCGCGAAAGCCAGGGGAGCAAACGGG
rnacentral:rRNA from 1 species